rnacentral:rRNA from 1 species
GAUGAACGCUGGCGGCGUGCCUAAUACAUGCAAGUCGAGCGAACGGACGAGAGUGCUUGCACUCUCUGAUGUUAGCGGCGGACGGGUGAGUAACACGUGGGUAGCCUACCUAUAAGACUGGGAUAACUCCGGGAAACCGGAGCUAAUACCGGAUAAUAUUUAGCUUCGCAUGAAGCAAUAGUGAAAGACGGUUCUGCUGUCACUUAUAGAUGGACCCGCGGUGUAUUAGCUAGUUGGUGAGGUAACGGCUCACCAAGGCAACGAUACAUAGCCGACCUGAGAGGGUGAUCGGCCACACUGGGAUUGAGACACGGCCCAGACUCCUACGGGAGGCAGCAGUAGGGAAUCUUCCGCAAUGGACGAAAGUCUGACGGAGCAACGCCGCGUGAGUGAAGAAGGUUUUCGGAUCGUAAAACUCUGUUGUAAGGGAAGAACAAGUACGUUAGUAACUGAACGUACCUUGACGGUACCUUACCAGAAAGCCACGGCUAACUACGUGCCAGCCGCCGCGGUAA